GACGAACGCUGGCGGCGUGCCUAAUACAUGCAAGUUGAGCGCUGAAGGUUGGUCCUUGUCCCGACUGGCUGAGCAGCGAACGGGUGAGUAACGCGUGGGGAAUCUGCCUUUGAGCGGGGGACAACAUUUGGAAACGAAUGCUAAUACCGCAUAAAAACUUUAAACACAAGUUUUAAGUUUGAAAGAUGCAAUUGCAUCACUCAAAGAUGAUCCCGCGUUGUAUUAGCUAGUUGGUGAGGUAAAGGCUCACCAAGGCGAUGAUACAUAGCCGACCUGAGAGGGUGAUCGGCCACAUUGGGACUGAGACACGGCCCAAACUCCUACGGGAGGCAGCAGUAGGGAAUCUUCGGCAAUGGACGAAAGUCUGACCGAGCAACGCCGCGUGAGUGAAGAAGGUUGUCGGAUCGUAAAACUCUGUUGGUAGAGAAGAACGUUGGUGAGAGUGGAAAGCUCAUCAAGUGACGGUAACUACCCAGAAAGGGACGGCUAACUACGUG
rnacentral:rRNA from 1 species